rnacentral:rRNA from 1 species
GAAAUAAGAUUUUAAAUGAGUGCUAAGAGAAUGAUUAAACAAUUAAAAGCUUUCUUUAAUUAAAAAAUUAAAUUUAAUUUUUUAGUGCAAAAGCAAAAAUAAAAUUUAGGGACAAGAAGACCCUAUGAAUUUUUAUUGUUAAUAAUUAAAAUUUAAGUUAUUAAUAAUUUAAUUGGGGCGAUAAAAAAAGAAUAAGUAUCUUUUUAGUUAUAAAAUAGGUUCCGUUUUUAGCGAUUAAAUGAAAUAAAUACUCUAGGGAUAACAGCGUAAUAAUUUUGGAUAGUUCAUAUAGAUAAAAUAGUUUGCGACCUCGAUGUUGGAUUAGGAUUCUU